CCUCCUUUGUUCCGCCGUUUUUACUAUUGCUCCCUGGGGGCCCCCCUGAUGCAGCGACGCCGCGUGAGUGAAGAAGUAUUUCGGUAUGUAAAGCUCUUUCAGCAGGGAAGAAGAAAGACGGUACCUGACUAAGAAGCCCCGGCGAACUACGGGCCAGCAGCCGCGGUACUACGUAGGGGGCACGCGUUAGCCGGAUUUACUGGGUGUAAAGGGAGCGUAGACGGCUGUGCAAGUCUGAAGUGAAAGCCCAGGGCUCAACCCUGGGACUGCUUUGGAAACUGUGGGGCUAGAGUGCUGGAGAGGUACGUGGAAUUCCUGGUGUAGCGGUGAAAUGCGUAGAUAUUAGGAGGAACACCAGUGGCGAAGGCGGCUUACUGGACAGUAACUGACGUUGAGGCUCGAAAGCGUGGGGAGCAAACAGGAUUAGAUACCCGAGUAGUC
rnacentral:rRNA from 1 species